UAAGGAAUAUUGGUCAAUGGGCGGAAGCCUGAACCAGCCAUGCCGCGUGCAGGAUGACUGCCCUAUGGGUUGUAAACUGCUUUUGUCCAGGAAUAAACCUAGAUACGUGUAUCUAGCUGAAUGUACUGGAAGAAUAAGGAUCGGCUAACUCCGUGCCAGCAGCCGCGGUAAUACGGAGGAUCCGAGCGUUAUCCGGAUUUAUUGGGUUUAAAGGGUGCGUAGGCGGCCUAUUAAGUCAGGGGUGAAAUACGGUGGCUCAACCAUCGCAGUGCCUUUGAUACUGAUGGGCUUGAAUCCAUUUGAAGUGGGCGGAAUAAGACAAGUAGCGGUGAAAUGCAUAGAUAUGUCUUAGAACUCCGAUUGCGAAGGCAGCUCACUAAGCUGGUAUUGACGCUGAUGCACGAAAGCGUGGGGAUCGAACAGGAUUAGAUACCCUGGUAGUCCACGCCCUAAACGAUGAUAACUCGAUGUUGGCGAUAGACAGCCAGCGUCCAAGCGAAAGCGUUAAGUUAUCCACCUGGGGAGUACGCCCGCAAGGGUGAAACUCAAAUGAAUUGACGGGGUCAUAGUUGUUUUCCUG
rnacentral:rRNA from 1 species